rfam:Populus trichocarpa scaffold_19_contig_516, whole genome shotgun sequence.
UUAAAGGUUUUUUUCAAAACCAAACUUAAUGAAUGUGGUUUCUAGU